UACAGAGGGUGCGAGCGUUAAUCGGAAUUACUGGGCGUAAAGCGUGCGUAGACGGCUAUCUAAGUCGGAUGUGAAAUCCCCAGGCUCAACCUGGGAACUGCAUCCGAUACUGGAUGGCUUGAAUCCGGGAGAGGGAUGCAGAAUUCCAGGUGUAGCGGUGAAAUGCGUAGAUAUCUGGAGGAAUACCGGUGGCGAAGGCGGCAUCCUGGACCGGCAUUGACGCUGAGGAGCGAAAGCCAGGGGAGCAAACGGG
rnacentral:rRNA from 1 species